AUCUGGCGAGAAACGUUAUCGCGUAAUUGCGGGUUAAUUCGAGGCUGGCCGAAGCGUGGGCAAUUCCACGAGACACGUCUGCGAAGUUUGUCGCCGGACCGCGCUUUUGCACGCAACAUCUUCUCUGAACAAGAUACGUACUUCGUAGUUUCUUUCGUGUACCUUCGUUUACCUCCGAGAAUCACCGUAUACUGUACAACUGGCGUGGAUUCUUUCGACGAUCGUUUCUUUCUUUGGCACGAACUGUCGAAGCACGGAAAACUGUGGAUCAGCGCAAGAAACGCGAGAAAGUACUCAGGAACGCGGUACAAAAAUCGUUAAUAACGAUGAAGAAAAAGCACGGAAAGAAACACGAAUAGAAAGCGGAAAAAGGAUGGAAAAAGGAUUGAAUGGCACGAUAAAUAUUUGUCGAUGCGCUAAAACGCAACGAAGUGUCGAGAGCGGCAGCGGGGACCGUAAACGUGAAAUAUACCAGAGUUUAUAGGAUUAUCCGCAGCAGAAUGGAACCGUAAACUUAUAAUCGUGCAGAUUCUUAUGAAAUAAUGACAAACGAUAACGAACGACGUAACAUGAAGAAAGCGACGAAACUUUGGUUUCGAAAUGGCAGAAUAUCAGAACGUUCUGAUAGAAGAUAGUGCACAUACGUAACGUCAAAUUUACACAAAUUAUGAAGUUUUCGAAAGAUACGCUACUAGAGAACUAAGAUUAAACCGCGCAAGAGUAAACGAAGUUGAUCGUUCGAUGUUACCAAGCAGCUGGAAAAAAGAGGAACAGGAGGCACGGCAUCCGCGCUCGAUCGGGAUUAGCUACGAAGAAAAUUUGCGAUUAAAGUUUCUUCUCCGCCCACGAGCGUCUUUUCCGGUCGUUGCUUAGCCGUCGACUCACCACGCGGAACGAUUAAACGCUUCGCUAGGAUCGUAUCUGGUAUAGGUGAAUGGGAAAGGAAUGUCAGAAAAUCGUGGUGCACGUAGCAACGAGGGAACUUCUUCGCGAGCGCAUCGCGUCCAUCCACCAGGGCGACGUUCUUGACACGGCACACGACGUCUCGCGAGAGAUCCUUGCGUGGAAUCGAGAGACGCAUAACGGAUACCGAUUUAUGCCAGUCACAGGCAUAUCCUUCGGACUAUUUGCUCGUGGCCUCCAAACGUCAGCUUGGACCUGCGACGACCUUUUCGUUUUGCAAUUUUAUUGCUUUGUGAAUUAACGCGUUUAUUGUUCCAGCAUUUUAGAUUAUAUGUGCGUAUAUAUACGUCGUGUUCAUUUCUACUGUCGUACGUACCACUAAAAACCUAGGUCAAAUGGAAUGAUAAAACAAUUAUUUUUCAUUAGAGAGAUCAUUAUUCUAAACAAUAUUAUGUAUUUCAAUAUAGUUUUCACUGUUUUGUCUCUCUUCUCAAAUCAUUUUAUCUAAACAUACAAUCAAAAAACGCAACAGCUACGUCAGCAACAGCAUCGCUUACGCUUUGAAUCCAUAUUUUUAUGUACAGAACUAAAGGAAUAAAAUUUAAAUAGAGAUGUGGGAAAGGUUAUAAGCAGUAUAUAUAGCUUACUUUGAAUAUUCUAUAUACUUUUGCAUAUCAUAUUCGUUUCACGAAUUUUUACAUCUUUAAAUUUCUCAUAAGUUGAAAGAAGUCAUAGAAUAUUCAUCGAUAGUAACGAAUAUGUUAAAACACGGUGCGUGUACAUGGUAUAAAAAUUUCUACGAAUUGCAUGUGCUGAAGAAAAUGCGGAUGAAGCAAAGGCUAUGGCAUCGUAUACGAUGCGCCGAACGUGUUAAUACGGAGUAGUCGAUCGGUUUUCGUAUGGCCGUAUGCUCGUAAGUUUCCGCGCGAAGAAACGCGGUUUGAUUGCCGCAAUAAAAGCGUUUCGCGUGGUUUCCUUUCGUGGCCGGGUACGGUGUACACCGGCCUCGCUCCAACGACGAACCAAGAGGAAGGAAAAAAGGUCGUGCAAGAACGGGAGGGAUCGAAUACUCGUGAUUCCCCGUCAAGGAUCGGUUGGCCAACUCGGGAGAGGCGGCACGGAAUUCUGGGCUGCGCCAGCGAGGACGAAGACGCUCGAAACGCGCGGCACGGACGCGCGUUACAAUGUUAACGGGAAAAACGCGAUCAACCGCGGUACGCCGCGGUGCGCGAAAUUUUUGCCACGAUAAAAAUCAAUGGAACAAGGCUCUUCCUCCGACAACACCAACGGAAAAACCGCAAAUCGAGAUACAGAAACGGAUCUUGCUUUGAACGCGCGUUUCCCUGCUACUGAACCAAACAGGACGAUUGUUAUUUCGUUGCCGAAGGGGGAAAAAAAAAGAAUUACCGUAAUCGUACUUCCUUUACAUCGGACGAUACCCUUUUACUAUAGCAAUGGUAGAUCGGUAAAUGUUUCGGAAUUAUAGACACGGUGCUUUGUAACGAACAAUAAAAUAAAUUAUGGAGAACAAUUUUUCUGUUAGAGUAGUCAGAUGCACUUGUUGUUAGAGGACUGUAAAAUGAGAUUCUUAUCGAGUUUCGUGCUUAUUAAUCUUUUAAAGUACGUGAUUGUGGUGAAGUAUGAUUGUAUACCUAUGUAUGUAAUGCGUAUAGGUGUAUGUAGUUAAUAGGUAGGUAUAUGAACAUUAUGAAUCGCCGAGCAGUGACUACGAAAUAUAUUUGCACUUAUCACUAUACCACUGUAUUUAUUAUAACAGUCAGAUGAUAAUUAAUUAGGCCCAAGUAUACUAAAUUCGAUAUCAUUCCUAGUAGUGGUAUUCUUAUACGAUUAGUUUGCCAAUAAUGGGAGUUAAAAUAUCUUUUGUAACAACUAUAUCUCAUACAAGAUACAUCGCGUCAAUUAAUUAUCACUGUCAGCUAUUUUCUAUCAUAAAAAGAAUUGAAUCUUUUUCAACCGCUGAAUAAUGAAAAGGCGUAUGCAUUAAGGCGUUAAAUUGUAUACAUAAAAUACGUUUGUGUUUAUCGAACGAUGAACACGAUAAGAGAAGUAUCCACGCAAAAGACAAGAACAAAAUGCCUUCACAGACAGGUCACUCUCGAGUCAAUUCUGAAAACAAAUUUUCAAGAACGGUCUUUAAUACCCGCCACCAACGAUUUAACCGCGAUAACCGGUAUCAGACAGUGGUUAAUUAUCGCGAGCGACUUUUCGAUCGCGUCGCGUCGGCUAAAAGAGGGCUGGACGAAGAAGAAAUACGGUCGUGGGCGUAAGUAAUUAAGAAUAUUGGCAGCGUACUCUGGCGGCUGUGAUUUCGUAAGCGUCCAGCUUAAUUGACUCGAAUUAACGUGUUUUAAUUACACGUCGUACGGACUCGUCCUCGCCGCUUCCUUCUCAAAGCCGCCGAUUUUUUCGUUCUCCCUUCCACCCAGUCUCGUCCACGGUGGAAUACGCCAUCGAUCGUUCCUCAGGACGGCAUUAUUUUUAGCCGCGUUCGCUGUCACAAACUUCGUUAUUACUUUACGGCACGAUAUUCAUCGAGUGUGCGUGUAUUUUUAAAAAUUUCUCCUGCCCUGAACGCACGCCCGACGAACCAUCGAAUCGACCGGCUAAAUGCCGCGACUAAUUAUCGGCUAACUCAUCGCUAAUUUACGCUUCCCUUCGGUUCUUAGGACAAUGAGACAUCGAUUUCUCUGCAUAAAAGCAUCUAACAGGAUCAAUAAAGAACGAUGUUGUAUUGCUUCAAGCGUGCAUUUUCUUUUUUUUUUUUUCUUUUUUUUGCGUGUUGGAUGUCAGAGAGCUUGAGCACACGAAUAAACAAAUAAUAAAUAAAAUAUGGAAUAAUUCGAA